AAAGGGUGCGCAGGCGGAUUGGUAAGUCAGGGGUGAAAUCCCACAGCUCAACUGUGGAACUGCCCUUGAUACUGUCAGUCUAGAGUAUAGUUGAAGUUGGCGGAAUGUGUCAUGUAGCGGUGAAAUGCUUAGAUAUGACACAGAACACCGAUCGCGAAGGCAGCUAGCUAAGCUAUAACUGACGCUCAUGCACGAAAGCGUGGGGAUCAAACAGGAUUAGAUACCCUGGUAGUCCACGCUGUAAACGAUGAUUACUCGAUGUUGGCGAUACACAGUCAGCGUCUAAGGGAAACCAAUAAGUAAUCCACCUGGGGAGUACGAUCGCAAGAUUGAAACUCAAAGGAAUUGACGGGGGCCCGCACAAGCGGAGGAGCAUGUGGUUUAAUUCGAUGAUACGCGAGGAACCUUACCUGGGCUAGAACGUAGAAUGGCUAUAGGAGAAAUCUUAUAUCCCUUCGGGGCAGUCUACGAGGUGCUGCAUGGUUGUCGUCAGCUCGUGCCGUGAGGUGUCGGGUUAAGUCCCAUAACGAGCGCAACCCCUACCUUUAGUUGCCAUCAGGUCAAGCUGGGGACUCUAAAGGAACUGCCUACGCAAGUAGUGAGGAAGGCGGGGAUGACGUCAAAUCAGCACGGCCCUUACGUCCAGGGCUACACACGUGCUACAAUGGCCGAUACAGAGGGCAGCUACCUGGUGACAGGACGCAAAUCUCCAAAGUCGGUCUCAGUUCGGAUCGGAGUCUGCAACCCGACUCCGUGAAGUUGGAUUCGCUAGUAAUCGCGCAUCAGCCAU
rnacentral:rRNA from 1 species